rnacentral:rRNA from 1 species
AAACCAACAGGGAUUGCCUCAGUAACGGCGAGUGAAGCGGCAAAAGCUCAAAUUUGAAAUCCCCCCGGGGAGUUGUAAUUUGAAGAUUGCGUCUUGGAGGCGACCGUGUCUAUGUUCCUUGGAACAGGACGUCACAGAGGGUGAGAAUCCCGUGCGGCACGGCCCCCGGCUCCUUAUAAGGCGCUCUCGACGAGUCGAGUUGUUUGGGAAUGCAGCUCAAAGUGGGUGGUAAAUUCCAUCUAAAGCUAAAUACAGGCGAGAGACCGAUAGCGAACAAGUACAGUGAUGGAAAGAUGAAAAGCACUUUGAAAAGAGAGUGAAACAGCACGUGAAAUUGUUGAAAGGGAAGGGCAUGCCGUCAGAUUGUCAGUGUGGGUAAGAAGCGGGGUACAAAGACUGUGGAACGUGGCCCUCGGGUGUUAUAGCCGCAGUUCAUGCCCCGUCUCUUCCGAGGCCUGCUUGAG